CUUGAAUUUGUGAUUCUCCUACCUCAGCCUCCCAGAGUGCUGGGAUUAUAAACCUGUGCCUCUUGGUCCAGUUUCUUUUUUAAAAUGCUGGAAAGGAUCCAGGGAAGCUGCAUCAUUUUUAGAUAGGAGAUGACAUCACUUCCCAACUUGCUUAGGAGGCCUAAAGUCUUGCUCUAUUCUUGGUCUAGCACCUCACUUUCCAUUCUCUUUACAACCUAUUGUCCUUUUUUGUACUUAGCCUAGCAGGACCUGGGGGGCCCAGCUUGAAAAAGGAUGUUAGCAUCCCCCUCCCUUCUGCCGACCUACCUCCUCUUGUAGCAACCUGGCGCCCCCUCGACAACUCAUGGUGCUGGAGGUCAAAUUGUUCCAGAAAUCGUGGAAAGAAAUAUACGGAGACACAGAAUUCAGUCUCAUCCGUGUCUGUUUUAGCCAUCUUCUCACCCGUGGAGGACUUGUGUUCCUGUCUCCGUCCUCUGCCACACAGG
rnacentral:lncRNA from 1 species